UACGUAGGGACCAAGCGUUGUCCGGAAUUAUUGGGCGUAAAGAGCUCGUAGGCGGCUUGUCGCGUCGGAUGUGAAAGCCCGGGGCUUAACUCCGGGUCUGCAUUCGAUACGGGCAGGCUAGAGUUCGGUAGGGGAGAUCGGAAUUCCUGGUGUAGCAGUGAAAUGCGCAGAUAUCAGGAGGAACACCGGUGGCGAAGGCGGAUCUCUGGGCCGAUACUGACGCUGAGGAGCGAAAGCGUGGGGGGCGAACAGG
rnacentral:rRNA from 1 species